AUUGAACGCUGGCGGCAGGCCUAACACAUGCAAGUCGAGCGGCAGCGGGAAAGUAGCUUGCUACUUUUGCCGGCGAGCGGCGGACGGGUGAGUAAUGCCUGGGAAAUUGCCCAGUCGAGGGGGAUAACAGUUGGAAACGACUGCUAAUACCGCAUACGCCCUACGGGGGAAAGCAGGGGACCUUCGGGCCUUGCGCGAUUGGAUAUGCCCGGGUGGGAUUAGCUAGUUGGUGAGGUAAUGGCUCACCAAGGCGACGAUCCCUAGCUGGUCUGAGAGGAUGAUCAGCCACACUGGAACUGAGACACGGUCCAGACUCCUACGGGAGGCAGCAGUGGGGAAUAUUGCACAAUGGGGGAAACCCGGAUGCAGCCAUGCCGCGUGUGUGAAGAAGGCCUUCGGGUUGUAAAGCACUUUCAGCGAGGAGGAAAGGUUGAUGCCUAAUACGUAUCAACUGUGACGUUACUCGCAGAAGAAGCACCGGCUAACUCCGUGCCAGCCGCCGCGGUAA
rnacentral:rRNA from 1 species